UACGGAGGGGGCUAGCGUUGUUCGGAAUUACUGGGCGUAAAGCGCACGUAGGCGGUUAUUCAAGUCAGAGGUGAAGGCCCGGAGCUCAACUCCGGAAUAGCCUUUGAAACUAGAUAGCUUGAAUCACGGAGAGGUGGGUGGAAUUCCGAGUGUAGAGGUGAAAUUCGUAGAUAUUCGGAAGAACACCAGUGGCGAAGGCGGCCCACUGGACGUGUAUUGACGCUGAGGUGCGAAAGCGUGGGGAGCAAACAGG
rnacentral:rRNA from 1 species